UACGUAGGCAGCAAGCGUUGUUCGGAGUUACUGGGCGUAAAGGGUGCGUAGGCGGCUUUUUAAGUUUGGUGUGAAAUCUCCCGGCUCAACUGGGAGGGUGCGCCGAAUACUGAGAGGCUAGAGUGCGGGAGAGGAAAGUGGGAAUUCCUGGUGGUAGCGGUGAAAUGCGUAGAUAUCAGGAGGAACACCGGUGGUGUAAACGGCUUCUUGGACCGUAACUGACGCUGAUGCACGAAAGCGUGG
rnacentral:rRNA from 1 species